UGAAGGGAGCUUCAUAGAAGAAGUAAGGAGUGACGGACCGCCGGCUGAGGAUGACGGGGAGCGGGGAAGGACCGGCAGUAGCCGGGGCACUCGCGUCCUACACCGGCCGCCCUAACCUUAAAACUUGGGCUAUUUCUAGUUUUGCCGAGUAUCGUUCGGGUGCCCACGUCGCGUCGCACUGCUUUUAUUUUAAUUCAGUUUUAUCUAGUGAUUUGUUGUCCCGUGCAAUGGUCUCUUUGAAGCCGCUGUUGCGGGCUCCUUGGUCACCGGCGCCGGAACCACGGUAAACAGCGACAAAGAGGGCGGUGAAGCCCAAAUUAGAGCGGCGUCCGCCAGUAGCCUAAUGCAACAGUGUGAGCGGCGGAGAGGCGCCGGGCGAAGAGCCGGGGAGUCCGACGCGGGUCGCCGCCAAUGGCCGAAAGUUGAUCCGCUCGCGGCGCAGAAAGGGUCACCCGGUUUACCCUUCACUUCUGAUCCGAGCUCCGGUACUGAGCCAAGCUGCUCUCUCUGAGGCUGGCAGGCAGAGAGCACCCUGGGAUUGCUGUCCUUACUGUGUGGGGAUAACUUAUGCAGCGUGGGAGCAAGUAAAGAAAGUUCCUGUGUUAGAAAAAGUGAUAUUAGCUAAUCCCCAUUAUAGAAAGAAAUGCUACUGCAGCCCUCAAACGACAGCUGUAAAUGUAGAAAUCACAUUUACAUGUAGAAAACACACGCAAGAGGCAGGGUCAGGUGACUGCAGUCAUGUGAUCACCAGCUACACCUAUCUGUGCAGUAGCCCUUGUGAGUUGAGAAGCCACACUCUGUGCCUUUGCAUCCUCUCUCCAGCAGGGGGAGUGCAGGGCCCAGGAAGGUUUCGGAGAGCAGCGAACAGGACAGCAGUCAGAAGGUGCGUCGCUAGUGUUUCAAACAAAAAACACCCUGAUGCCCAGUUUACAAGAGGUGAGCGCAAAAGAGAAAAAACUAAACUCGGCCACCAAUACAAAACAAGAACUUUGAAGUUAAAGUGACGUCUGGAGCGACUUGACUGCCAGUGUGUGCUGUAAUUUGUACUGUAGAACUUCACCUAAUUAACGUAACUGCAACCUUUAUCCCAAACCCCUGGGUGAAUGAACCCCCCCCUCCCCGGCAGGUAAGUGCUUACGAAUGUUUACCACAAGGGUCAACUAUAUUUGACUUUUGCACCACUUGUAUAUUUUCGUUUACAUGUAUUUUUUGUGUAUAAACUAAGAACCUCCAAGAAUGAAGAAUUGAUAGUGAAAAUGAAAGGCAUCCUGUAGGGUAAGUUCCGAUUUAGGCGGCCGCAGGAUGGAGAUGCUUCUGCUCCUUCUGGGCUUACUCUGACUGUCUUGUUAAACACCGUCAGUCCAGGCCUCUUCUGGCAGAGCGCGAUAAACGCUGAUUCUUUCUAUUGCCAUGUUUGCUUUUGUAUUUAGGGUAAUUUAAGACAAUAAAAAAAAUCCAAAACUUUUAAUGUGAUUUGGCUGUCAUCUUGAAAGCGGAAUUUUCCAGUACUGGUCCAUGUCCUUUAUCACGUUUCCCCACAACGCUUCUGGAAUUACACCGACGUUUAUUGUUAAAAUUCUAAAAUGUGUUUUCUUACUGACCUAAGAAUUACCUUAUGGAUAAAUAAACAGUCUCCAUAUUUAA